rnacentral:rRNA from 1 species
CGGCGGACGGGUGAGUAACACGUGAUAACCUACCUAUAAGACUGGGAUAACUUCGGGAAACCGGAGCUAAUACCGGAUAAUAUUUUGAACCGCAUGGUUCAAAAGUGAAAGACGGUCUUGCUGUCACUUAUAGAUGGAUCCGCGCUGCAUUAGCUAGUUGGUAAGGUAACGGCUUACCAAGGCAACGAUGCAUAGCCGACCUGAGAGGGUGAUCGGCCACACUGGAACUGAGACACGGUCCAG